rnacentral:lncRNA from 1 species
UCACAGUGAACCAGGGGCCCUGGUUCCUGUGGACCACCUCUUUCUCUGCAGCGUGCCUGUCCCUACCUCCCGUGACUCCUCAGGUUGUCUGUCCAUCUUCCCCAGGCCCGGGAGACACUUACAGGAAUCUGGAAAAUCUAGGACAGCUGGUGACCCAUUCUGGCUGGGUGAUGGAAGGCUCACUCGGUGCUGAGCCCCAGAAAAAGUGUGCCAGGCAGAGAUGCGCUUGUGCAGAAAGGGACUUAGUCACACAGAAGACAGCUUCUGAUCUCAGCCACAAGGAUGGCAGGAAGACACAAUACCCAGGCCCUCUGGACUCUUGGGCAAUCCUGCGGGAAGCCCGAGUGCCUUGUGGACCGAGCCUGGAGGAGCCAGUCAUCUGUCAGAGCACCAGAGCUCCAGUCGGGUCCAGGGAGCCGGAUAUCGAGAACAAUUAGCUCCUGGAAGCCUGUGGGCUGGGCUCGCCUCAUUGUUUGGGUUCUCUUCCCUCCGUGUUGUCAACGGCACCCG